rnacentral:rRNA from 1 species
UACUGGGCGUAAGCGCACGCAGGCGGUCUGUCAAGUCGGAUGUGAAAUCCCCGGGCUCUACCUGGGAACUGCAUUCGAAACUGGCAGGCUAGAGUCUUGUAGAGGGGGGUAGAAUUCCAGGUGUAGCGGUGAAAUGCGUAGAGAUCUGGAGGAAUACCGGUGGCGAAGGCGGCCCCCUGGACAAAGACUGACGCUCAGGUGCGAAAGCGUGGGGAGCAAACAGGAUUAGAUACCCUGGUAGUCCACGCCGUAAACGAUGUCGACUUGGAGGUUGUGCCCUUGAGGCGUGGCUUCCGGAGCUAACGCGUUAAGUCGACCGCCUGGGGAGUACGGCCGCAAGGUUAAAACUCAAAUGAAUUGACGGGGGCCCGCACAAGCGGUGGAGCAUGUGGUUUAAUUCGAUGCAACGCCAAGAACCUUACCUACUCUUGACAUCCAGAGAACUUGGCGGAGAUGCUUUGCUGCCUUCGGGAACUCUGA